rnacentral:lncRNA from 1 species
UACGGCAACUUCAAACCUUCCCAGAAAGCCAUCGUCACUGACUUCAUCACCUCCCUCUCCUCUCCCAAACCCCUCACACCCCAACCAUCGGUUGCCACGUGGUGGAAAGCCACCCAAAAAUACUACAAAACCUCAUCCCCCAAACUCUCCCUCUCCCUUGGCUCUCAGAUCCUCGAUCAAAACUACUCCUUCGGCAAAUCACUCACCAGCGAUCAAAUCCUCAAGCUCGCAUCCAAGGGUCCUCAGAGAAACGCCAUCAACGUGGUUCUCACGUCUGCUGACGUGGCAGUGGAAGGCUUCUGCUCCAGCAGGUGCGGGACUCACGGCUCCUCCAUGGGGGCGCGCGUGAACGGGAAGAGGUACAAGUUCGCUUACGUGUGGGUGGGUAACUCCGAAAGCCAGUGCCCGGGGCAAUGCGCGUGGCCAUUCCACCAACCCAUUUACGGUCCCCAGAACCCAGCUCUGAUUGCGCCGAACAACGAUGUUGGUGUUGAUGGCAUGGUCAUCAACGUGGCUAGCCUCUUGGCUGGCACUGUCACUAACCCUUUCGGGAACGGAUACUUCCAGGGACCCAAAGAGGCUCCUCUCGAAGCUGCCUCCGCCUGCACCGGUGUCUACGGGAAGGGCGCCUACCCUGGCUAUGCAGGGAACCUCUUGGUGGACCCCACAACCGGUGCCAGCUACAACGCCAAUGGUGUCAACGGAAGGAAGUAUCUUUUGCCAGCUCUCUUUGACCCUAAAACCUCUGCUUGUUCAACCAUAGUCUAAAACCACCACUCAGCUUUCACUUUUCACCCUCUUUAGCUGUUAGGCAACACGAACAUUCUUUCAUUUCUUCAUUCAUUCGGCCAUGAUACAAGAGAAUUAUAGUGUUAACUAGUACGAUGCUUAGUUAUAAUAAACUUUUAUAUUGAGAUGUAUUAGAAACUAUAGCACAAUUAUAUUAAUAAUAUUUUGAUUGCUUUUUAUUUUAAUGAGUGUUUGCAGAAAUUAUAGCUGUCCACUUUACAAACAUGAAUAACUAAAAAGGUAGCCAACAGAAAACCUAAAUAAAUUUUCCCCACGGAAAAUGAGUUAAUAAAAAAAUAUACAUGUUUCAAAAUAAAGUAAGAAAAAAAUUAACCAUUACAAUGGCAACCACAUCAUUUAAAAAGCACACAAUCAAAUAUGAAAGCUUUUUUUUUUUAUCAUAUUGGGCUAGAUUUAAAACCUUAUUAUCAAAAUGAUGGGAUAGAUUUUUAAAACAUUGCGAGUUUGGAGAGAUAGUAUAAAUGUUACAUGACUUUAUUACUUUAUUGUGAGAAAGUAAUCAAUGACAAUUUUUUAUCACAUAAAAAAAAGUUGUGUUAAUGUGAUAAUUUUAGUCUAUGUUAAGUGGUGUUAAGGUGAUAUAAUUUGAAUUAUAUGUAAUUGACACGAUUUUAGUAAUAAGUAUAAAGUUAUCUCAACCUAACAUGAUUUUGGUUAAUAAAUUUUUUUUAAAGUUACACUUUAAGUUUUAUCACUUUAAUAAGACUUGAGUUUUAGUAUUUUUUUUUUUAAAAAAAAGUGUUUAUUUCUUUAUUUUUUUAAAAAUGGAAUUAUUAAUUUAACAAAUUUUAUAAAAUUAAGAAAAAAAAAUAAUUGAAAAAUGGUGUUAAAACCCUAAAUAUAAAAUGUAAAUUAAAAGCUUAAAAUAUAUAAAAAUGCCAAAAAAUAAUAAAAGUUAAACGGUUUAUUUUUUGAAAAUUUUGUAAACCCAAUUCUCCUUCGGAUAUUGGUUGUUGCAUUCCUUAUCUCAUUUUUAACGCGUUUCAAUCUGAACUCUAUCAAAAGUUAAGAUCAUAUGAAGUUUUUUCAUACAAAACUUUAUAAAAAUCAUCAAUUUCUUUCCUAUCCUGAUUUCUUUUACAAAAAUUUCUUAAUUUUAUACAAAUUUUCAAAUUAAUAAUUCAAUUAAUUAUUUCAAUUUUUUAAAAACCAAAAGAAAACAAACAUUUUUUUCAAAAAAUAAAUUCAGUGAAAUUGAAAGUGUAUCCUUAAAACAAAAUUCGUUAAUCAAAAUCGUACCUCCUUACAACAACUCCACUUUGAUAUGGUCAAAAUCAUGUCACCUAACAUGACUUACUGACAAUGAAGUCGUGUCACAUUGACACAACUUCUUCCAACUCAUAAUUUUUAAAACCAACCACAUUUCGAUAGUAAGCAUGUAAAAUUGUCCUAACAUAGUAAAAAAAACAAAUUAUGAAUAGUGAAAUUUUGUCUAAAAUGACUUUAUAAAAAGAUCGUACAACUUUGUUGAGAUUUGUAGUAUAACUUUAAUAAUUUUAAGUUUUUUUUUUCAUUAAAGGUAGAAGUUAUGUUUGUAAACAUCAUCUUAAGGUUUUUUCCUUUCAAAAAUGGAAUUAAAACAUGAUUUUAGAAUGUUUAUUUUUAUUUUAAAUUUAAUUAUAAAAUUCAUGAUUAAUACAUCAUUUCGUUAAUCUUCUUUACGUCACCUUCAGUGAAAACCAACUCCACAUUAGAACAGGAAAUCAACCAGAGAGAGUGUUCCUUGAGUAGUGAUCAACCUGAAAAAUGCACGUGGUUUCGAUUUCAAAAUGAAAACAUACUAUUGUUCUGCAAAUAAACUAAUCAGAAAAAUGAAAAGCAAUCUUGAGAAACUAAACAGAAGAAAGGAAAGAUAGAUGGAGCUUCAACUAAGAGAUGAAGAUUUUCUAGGGCUUGAGAUGCCUCCUCCGAAACUACGAAAGUGUGUAAAAAACAUUAAUGCCUCAUUCGAAACGAAACUGAAAAUAGUGGGAAACAAAAAACUUUCCUGCGACUCAAUAAAAAAUUGUGGAGAGAUAUCAGGAUUUUCCAAACAUCUGGUACUUGCGUGUUUAAUGAAGGUUAUUAUAACCUCUAAUAAAAAACCCCUCUUAAAAUUAAUUUUUUAGUGAUUAUUAACACAAAUUUAGUUUUUGUUUUCUAGGUUUUAGUUGACUUCAUGUUAGUAAGCACAAUUUUAAUAUAUUGUAAUACAUACUAAAUUACAGUAUUUGGAGUUAAUUUUUUGUCAUGUUUAGAACUUAAAAGUACACAAUAUUAUUGAAUAGAUAUAAAAAAGUUAUAUAUGAGAGUUUGUGUUAAUAUUUUUUGUUUUUAUUUUUGUGUGAGUAUUGUUUUUGUUAUAAUUCUUAUUAGGUAAGUCUUUGUUGUGUUGGUGUGGUAAGUGCUAGAAUAUUACGUGGAGGCUUGAAUUUCCUUUUCUAUGCUAUGACCAUGUACGUACUUUUUGUUAUUAUUAUCUUCCAUCAGUGUGGUUCUAUUAGUUUAUAAAUGCCUUUGAAUUGUGUACUUGGUAUUUUGUCAUGGAAGGGAUGCCAAAUAUAUUUGAUCGAGAUGGAAUAAUAUUAUACCUGUAAGGAACUUGUGAAAAUUGAUAUUUUCCAAGCUGGUUGUGACGAUAAUCCAUACAUUCAUAUAAUGGAAAAGGUUGAAAACUAGAGUAAUCCAUCAUAUUGUUUUUGAUGUAGAUGUAUAUUUGAUGAAGAGCCAACAAUUUUCCUCUAUUUUUUUAGUAUUGAGUGCUAAGGAUUUGUUUUUUGUUUUUCUAGGCAUCAUGCUAAAUAACCUUUUCAUGAACUUUAAAGAUCCAAUGAGCUCCUCAAUGUAAGCGCUAGAGGUCCAUAAACGCUAUUUGGGCUAUUUCUUGAGAUCUUCAUGAAGUAAGCACAAUUUUUAGAAUACUCUUCCAAAGGAGUUAAACUUCUUUAUAAUGACUUGGAAUCCGCAAAAAAAAAUGCUUGAAUGUUUUCAUUCUCCUUCAUGUUAAACAACUUAUAUUGGAGAGUCAAAAGAAUAACUUUAUUUCUCUUACUUCGUGUGUAUAACUAGUGUGUUCCACAUCUUUACACAUUUAAGUGCAUGAAUUUUUGCAUAUUCAUCUUUAGAGAUGUCACACAUGAGUAUUAGACACAUAGUUUUCAUUCUGUUAUUACAGUUACAUAUCACUGUUAUAUAUACAUGUAUCCCAUGCAUCCCAUGCAUCCUUCUCAACACAAUAACUUAUAUAUUCAGAUAUACUUUUCUCUUUCUCCUUUCUUUUAACAUGGUAUCCAGAGCUACCUCUUUUCCAUGACCUCUUCCGCUACCUCUCCUUCUACCCCUCCUUUAUCACCUUCUUCCUCUAUUUCUUCUCCUCCUUUGUUGCCAAUGGCGUCUCCUUCCUUACGCCAUUUUUCUAGUCCGAUUACCCUCAAACUUACAACUGAAAAUUUUAUGAUUUGGAAACAACAAAUUUUUGCUACUUUUCGUGGUCUUGAUCUCCUACAUCUCCUUGAUGGUACUCAUAUUCCAUAUGAGUUUCUCCCAUCUAAUGAUCAGGAUCAAGAACCCACCAUCAACCCAUUUUUUCUCCAUUAUCAUAAGCAAGACCAGUUUAUCGUCACCUGGUUGCUGGCCUCCAUGUCCUCCUCCAUCUUAACCAAAAUGGUUGGUUUAGACUCUUCUGCUGCUAUAUGGACACACUUAUCCACAUAUUACGCCUCCCAUACAAGGGCCACCAUCAAGAAACUUUGCCUUCUUCUUCGCACACCCAAGAAUUACAGAACCGUUGCAAACUACCUUUUUGAUAUCAAAAAGACUGUUGAUUCUCUAUCUGCCUUUGGUGCUUCCAUUUCUAACGUCGAACACAUAGAUGUCAUUCUUAAUGGUCUAUCGGAGGAAUAUGAUGAUUUCAUCAUUGCGGUUCUCUCGCGUUCUGAUCCCUACACUGCUGACGAACUGGAGUUUUUACUCCUUGCUCAAGAAGAAAGGUUUGAGAAACAUAAACUCAUUCAAAAUUCCGUCAUUCAAGCCAAUUAGGUUUCCACGCAAUGGUUUUCACCUCGUCCCACCAAGAAACCCAAUUUUCACACCAAAUCUUACUACGGUGGUCACAACCAGAGUCACCCAUCGUAUCCAAACUUUGUGCCUUUCUUUUCUGGACCAAGACCUAUCACUCGUCCUCUUUUCCGCCAUUCUGCACCUUGGAAUUCAAGUAAACCCCAUUGUCAUAUCUGCCACAAACAAGGGCACACUGUUGAUACCUGCUGUCAUAGGUAUGAUCCUCCUAUUGCUUGUUCGAUUACAGCUAACAUUUCUCAAUCUUCCAUCUCAGUCGGUGAUGAUUCUGCUCCAUCUAUUCUGGGUGCUCCAUCGACCAUCAAAGAUCCUCUUGGUACCCCAAUAGUGAUGCUACCAACCAUGUCACUAGCGACCCAUCUGUUUUUCACAACAAAUUAUCAUAGCUCCGAAUCUUUAAAGGUUGGCAACGAUCAAGGUAUGAAUAUUAUACACACUAGCUCUACUUUCUAUAUUGCACCACACACACACAUAAAGUUUCUUCUACAUCAUCUGUUACACGUACCACAUAUCACCAAAAACUUGAUUAGUGUUGCUCAAUUUACAAAAGAAAAUAAUGUUUAUUUUGAAUUUUAUCCUCACUCUUGUUUUGUUAAACAUCAGGACACUCAUCAGAUUCUCAUUCAAGGAAUAGUUAGAUAUUGUCUAUAUGUUUUUCCUUCUUCCCCUGAUUCACUCUCUUACACCGCUAAUCAUGCUUCAUACAAACCGAAUGUUCCUCCCUUACAACUCUAGCAUAACAGGCUUGGGCACAACAGUUUUGCUAUUGUUCAGCGUGUUUUAAAAUCUUGUAAUAUACAAUAUAACUCUCAGACUCAAUUUUGUAAUGCAUGUGUGAUCGAUAAGACACACCAACUUCCUUUUCAUGCUUUUGUUAACAGUUACACUCCACCUUUACAAUUGGUUUUUGGGGACCUUCACCUGUAUGUGCCUCCAAUGGUUCACGCUAUUAUAUCUCUUUCCUUAAAUGAAAGGGGGUCACCAUUUUCAAUAUCAUCUAUGGCCUCCCCUUGUUUUUUUCCGUGUAAAAUGACAUACCAAUGUUCUGACAUAGGAUCUUUGAUGUAGAAAACCUGAGAUGCUUGUUGAACCAUUAUAAAUGGCCCAUCUCGAUACCCUAUCUUUCGAAAGUCCACUAGUGUGAAUCCUGAUUCAGCAAUAAAUGGAACAGAAAACUUACUAUAGCCAACCUCCCAUAUCUCUUCUAUAAACUCAUAGUAUGCCAUUGAUCCAAGUACAAAAUUUGUAUCUUUCGAAGUGGAAAAUUGCAUUGACUCAGUUUCAAGAGUAACACUAGAAUUUUGAACUGUAUUCUUUUCAUCCAUAGACUUCGUGUAAAAUAUACAAUUGUUUACUUUGUACGCAGUACAAGAAAUGACAACAAACUUCAAUCCAACAACCAACAAGGUCAAGGUCUCUGAUGUCGUUGAAUCCUUUAACACCUCGUCUUUAAACCAAGGCAUGAAAGUUCUAUUAUGUUCCAUCAAGACCCAUUUCUCUGCUUGUCUUGGUUUAUAUGCCUUCAUAAUGGCUUUAUGAGCUUCUAUGUAAGGUAUAACUUCAUCUGUGUUAUUGUUGAACAAGCUGCUUUGAUGUCUUCAAAUCCAAGAGGAAAGCUUGAAGCCCUUGCUGCUGGGUGUGUGUGUGUUGUCUAGUUGUUUGAAACUUGUUAAUUCACUCCUUAAGUCGAUCCAAGUUCAUUUGAAUCUUAAACCUUUUGAAAAGAUGUAUCUUCUAAAAGGCUGUCAAAAAUUCAACAGGUUGUUUUACCUUAGCUGUUUUUGAAAAACUUGGUUGACUUUGUUGUCAAACCAAAACAAUCGAUUGUUUCGACAAAACAACCGAUUGUUUUCCUGCAAGCCUUAACAAAAUUCUGUUAAGCGGUUUUAAUAUGUUUUAAAUGAUCCUAACUAACUUGGCUCCUUUAUUAAAUGCUUUUGACCACUUGGUGGGUCUAUAUAAAUGUGGUUUUACGCUCCUAAUCUUGGAGUAACAGAAAGAGUUUAUCAAAACAGUUUUUCCAAGAUUUGAAAGAGCUUUGGAUCAUUCUUAAGUGUGUGGAAUAGGAUUGGGUUGUAAUUCUGAACUUUAAGCUUUGUAAUACCCAGGUGUAUUUUAUUCCUUUCUUCCUUGAUUACUGUAUUUCUGUAGUUGUGUUGCCAAGGAGUGUUGUGUGUUCUUGAGGUGUUCAAGAUCAACAUUCUUGGUAUGGUUUGCCAAAGGUAGUGUGUUUCAUGAGGGGUUCAAGGUCACCACUGUGGUGUGUGGUGUUUGUAAUCUGGUUUUGAUUGCAUAGUGGAAUACCCAGUGGUUUUUGGGGACUGGAUGUAGCUCUUGGUGUAAGAGUGAACCAGUAUAAAUUGCUUGCGUGCUUAUAUCUUACCCUUAACUCUUUAAAUUUUGUUUUUAAGUUGUUUUUAUAAACUGCUCAUAAAAACAACCAUUUGUUUCGACAAAACAACCGAUUGUUUUUCUGAUAUCAUCUUAAAACAGUUUUGGUUCUUUGUUUUCUUGAUUCUUUUCUCUGUAAUUCAGCAUUGAUUUUUCAUUAUACCUUCAAAGUUUGCAAAAAUCCCUCUUAAACAAUUCACCCCCUCUCGUUUAAGGCCAUAUAUUCUAACAAUUCAAUAUAUACAAAUGUGCUUGCAAGACUUUUGAUCGAGAUUUGCUUACAAUAUUCACACCACGUAAACAUUUACUUGUAGAACGCUUGUGGUGCCAUGAAUUAGCUGGAAGACCUAUUGGAUUUUCUUUUGACAUGUACUCUGAACAAAAUUGAAUACUUUCUUCAGCUAUGUAGUUUUCAAUCAUUGAAGCUUCUAGACGAUAAUGAUUUUUCACAUAACCUUUCAAACUUUUCAUAUACUGCUCAACAAGAUGCAUCCAUCUUAAGUACACUGGUCCACACAAUCUAACCUCUCUUACCAUAUGCACAACUAGAUGAACCAUGAUGUCAAAAAAAGAUGGAGGAAAAACCAUCUCCAAUUCACACAACAUAACAACAAUUUCAUCUUCAAGUUCAUCUAGUUUUAAUGGAUCAAUGACUUUACAACAGAUGAAAGAGAAGAAUGAGCACAAAUGGGUUAUGGUAUGUCUAACAUUUUUUAGUAAGAUCCCACGAAUAACUACCGGUAGCAACUGUUGCAUCAAGAUGUGGCAAUCAUGAGACUUCAACCCAAUUAAUGUCAAAUCUUGCAUUGACACUAGGCUCUUCAUAUUUGAGGAAUGUCCUUGUGGAACUUUCACACCUUUUAGACAUUGAAAAAAACUUAUUUUUUCAUAUUUUGACAUGGUGAAACAGGUUGGGGGCAAAUAUGUACACUUACCCAUUUCUAUGGGUGCCCGCUCGCAUCUUAUGUUCAUCUCAAUCAAAUCUAAACGAGCAUUUAGACCAUCCAUCAUCUCAAUCAUAUGUUAAGAAGUGUACCAAUUAAGUUAUCACAUACAUUCUUCUCAACAUGCAUUACAUCUAUACAAUGGCUAACUUCUAACCUCGACCAAUAGGAAAGAUCAAAGAAGAUUGAUUUUUUCUUCCAAAUGUUUGUCACAGAUGACUUUUUUUUCGACUUAUCGAAGGUAUGAUCUAUGUUAUUUACCUUUUCGUACCACAACACCGGUUAAUAGAGUUGGUGGACUUGUUGAACAAGAUGCUUUGAUGUCUCCAAAUCCAAGAGGAAAGCUUGAAGACCUUGCUACUAGGUGUGUGUGUGUGUUGUCUAGUUGUUUGAAACUUGUUAAUUCACUCCUUAAGAUGAUCCAAGUUCAUUUAAAUCUUUAACCUUUUGAAAAGAUAUGUUUUCUGAAAAGCUGUCAAAAAUUCUACAGGUUGUUUUACCUUAGCAGUUUUUGAAAAGGUUUUGAAGAACUUGGUUGACUUUGCUGUCAAACCAAAACAAUCGAUUGUUUCGACAAAACAACUGAUUGUUUUCCUGCAAACCUUAACAGAAUUCUGUUAAGCGGUUUUAAUAUGUUUUAAAUGAUCCUAACUGACUUGGCUCCUUUAUUAAAUGCUUUUGACCACUUGGUUGGUCUGUAUAAAGGUGGUUUUACGCUCCUAAUCUUGGAGUAACAGAAAGAGUUUAUCAAAACAGUUUUUCCAAGAUUUGAAAGAGCUUUGGAUCAUUCUUAAGUGUGUGAAAUAGGAUUGGGUUGUAAUUCUGAACUUUAAGCUUUGUAAUACCCAGGUGUAUUCUAUUCUCUUCUUCCUUGAUUACNNNNNNNNNNNNNNNNNNNNNNNNNNNNNNNNNNNNNNNNNNNNNNNNNNNNNNNNNNNNNNNNNNNNNNNNNNNNNNNNNNNNNNNNNNNNNNNNNNNNGUUGUGUUGCCAAGAAGUGUUGUGUGUUCUUGAGGUGUUCAAGAUCAACAUUCUUGGUGUGGCUUGCCAAAGGUAGUGUGUUUCUUGAGGGGUUCAAGGUCACUACUUUGGUGUGUGGUGUUUGUAAUCUGGUUUUGAUUGCAUAGUGGAAUACCCAGUGGUUUAUGGGGACUGGAUGUAGCUCUUGGUGUAUGAGUGAACCAGUAUAGAUUGUUUGUGUGCUUAUCUCUUACCCUUAACUCUUUAAAUUCUGUUUUUAAGUUGUUUUUAUAAACUGCUGAUAAAAACAUCCGAUUGUUUUCACUAAACAACCGAUUGUUUUUCUGAUAUCAUCUUAAAACAGUUUUGGGUAUUUGUUUCCUUGAUUCUUUUCUCUGCAAUUCAGCAUUGAUUUUCAUUAUACCUUCAAAGUUUGCAAAAAUCCCUUUUAAACAAUUCACCCCCCAUCUCAUUUAAGGCCAUAUAUUCUAACAAUUGGCAUCAAGAGCUUGGUUCUUGAAAGUUAUUCAAGUUUUGAUCCUAAAUCUUUGUUAAAUGGUUGAAAAGUUUUCUUUUGGGGAGGGUGCCUGUUUAAGCAAACCACCUUUGUUCUAUGGUAUGAAAUAUGAAUUGUGGUGCAUAAGAAUGAAAUUCUUUGUUGAAUAUAUAGAGAGAAAAAUCUGGAAUGUUAUUACAAAUAGCUAUCUCAUGCCUAUAUCUGAAAAUGUUUCUUCUGAAAGAGAACAUCUUGAUUGUGUAGUUAUGAACAUCAUUGUAUCUGCACUUGAUUCUAAUGACUUUCUCAAAGUUUCAGAAUGUAGUUCUUCCAAAGAAAUGUGGAAUACCCUUGAAGAGUAUCACAAGAAUCCAAGGAGUGCCUUGAUGGACAAAGAAGAAUCUUCUGCUGAAUCUUUCUCUUCAAAAUCCAAAAAGGAGGUUUGGAUCAAGUCAAGCAAGAAGGAAAAGAAAGCAAAAUAAAAAAGAAGCCAAUCUGUGUUUGAUGGCCAAAGAAGAAGAUGAUGCAAGUAGUGUAAGUUCUUGUACUUCUUUAAAUGCUGAAAAUUAUAGUAAACUUCUUCAAGCCUUUAAUGAAACUCAUAAGGAAGCUAAUAGGUUGGCCCUUUUAAAUAAACGGUUGAAAGGUUUAAACAAAUCAUUGGAAAAUAGAGUCAAGACUUUGGAAGAAGAGUUGAACCAUUCAAAAACAGAUUUUGAAAGUUUGGAAAUGAUUUACAAAAACUCUUCUUGCAAGUGUGAUUCUAGCUUUUGUGAAAAUUGUGAAUCACUUGAAAAGAAAGUCCACUACCUUUUAAAAACCAUGGACAAGUUUUCCAAAGACCAAUCCAAUCUUGAAACUGUUCUUGCUUCUCAUAAAUGUGUUUUUGGCAAGGCUGGGUUGGGGUUUAAUCCAAACAGUAAGAACAAAGCUGUUUCAAAACCCUUUUCAAGUUUCUUUGAAAAACAACCUGUUUUAUCGAAACAACCGAUUGAAAUUUGUCAUUACUGCAUGAAAAGGGGCCACACUAUUAGAUUCUGCAAAGUAAAAAGGUUUUCUGUUCCUAAAGGUAUUUUGAAAUGUGUUCCUAAGGUUUCUAAGGUUCCUACUAACAUCAUUGGACCCAAAUUCAUAAGGGGACCAAAUCUUGCUUCUUAAUCUUUUGUUGUAGGUAUCCUUGGCAGCCAAGAAUCAGUUUUGGACUUGAAGAGUGACUGCUAAAGGGAAAACCAUCAAAAGCAAAGUUUGUCUAUAUGCCUGUACUUUCAAUUGUAUAUGUCUUGCAAGGUUCUUUGAAUGUCAAGAGACAUCCUUGGCACAUGCAUAGUGUUGAUCAAAAGAGAAACCUCAAAGAAAGUAUGUGUGUUUGAUGAAAUCAUUCAUAGUGGUCAAAGUUCUACAAAGGUUUAUGUAGAAGAAGAUGAGCAGAACAUCAUUGGAUGCAAAUGGGUUUUUCAUAAACAAGUUGUAUGAAUCUGGAGUAAUUACAAGGAACAAGGCAAGGCUUGUGGCUAAAGGUUAUAAUCAAGAAGAAGGCAUAGAUUAUGGUACAACCUUUGCUCUAGUUGCAAGAUUAGAGGUUGUAAGGUUGUUGUUGGCCUAUGCUUGUUUGAGUGGAUUCAAAUUGUUUCAAAUGGAUGAUAAAAGUGAUUUCCUUAAUGGAAUCAUCAAUGAGGAAGUCUAUGUUGAAGAACCAUCGGGCUUUGAAGAUCAUCAACAUCCUAACCACGUAUACAAGCUGAAAAAGGCCUUGUAUGGUCUUAAGCAAGCUCCAAGGCAGUGUGAAGAAAGAAUAUUUCUACCAAAUCCACCUCUUGAGUAAUCAUUUGACCAACUUGAAUUGCUGGAUGAAGAAAAGAUAAGGGGAGAAAUUGUGGUCUCCUUGCUAAAAAUUUUGGGGUCUAUGGUACUUUGAUUCUACUGCUAUCAUAGCUCUGAUACACCAUAGAUUUUUGCUGCAAUUUUGAUAUGGUAUCACAGGUUUGUUGCUGCAAUAGUGUUGCUACACAUACUGGUAUUCUGGUUUUUCUUAAUCCUGAUUUUAUCCCUUCUUUCAUUCUAUUUGAGAAGACAAAUAGGGGGAGAAUGGUGUGGUUUUAUGUGUUGUAUUAUUGCAGCUACAUUUGGUGUUAUCUGGUUUUAUCAUGAUUUAAAUUCUGCUAUUGCCAUGCUCUUAUUCACCAUAGUUCUGUUGCACACAAGUCUCAUUUUGGCACUAGUUUUUAUGGUUAUUUGACUAGUUUUUCUGCUUAAAGACUUAUGCAGAAAACUGGUUUUGUGUGCCUUGGUAUCCUGCUAGUAUACUUGCUUUGUAUAUGCACAAAUUCUGUUUUGUAGGACCUUUCAAGUUCAAAAACAACAACACAAACAAACCAGGGAUUUGUCUUCAUCAAAUAGGGGGAGAUUGUUGAACAAGAUGCUUUGAUGUCUCCAAAUCCAAGAGGAAAGCUUGAAGACCUUGUUUUUGGGUGUGUGUGUGUUGUCUAGUUGUUUUGAAACUUGUUAAUUCACUCCUUAAGAUGAUCCAAGUUCAUUUGAAUCUUUAACCUUUUGAAAAGAUGUGUUUUCUAAAAAGCUGUCAAAAAUUCAACAGGUUGUUUUACCUUAGAAGUUUUUGAAAAGGUUUUGAAAAACUUGGUUGACUUUGCUGUCAAACCAAAACAAUCGAUUGUUUCGACAAAACAACCGAUUGUUUUCCUGCAAACCUUAACAAAAUUCUGUUAAGCGGUUUUAAUAUGUUUUAAAUGAUCCUAACUAACUUGACUCCUUUAUUAAAUGCUUUUGACCACUUGGUUGGUCUGUAUAAAGGUGGUUUUACGCUCCUAAUCUUGGAGUAACAGAAAGAGUUUAUCAAAACAGUUUUUCCAAGAUUUGAAAGAGCUUUGGAUCAUUCUUAAGUGUGUGAAAUAGGAUUGGGUUGUAAUUCUGAACUUUAAGCUUUGUAAUACCAAGGUGUAUUCUAUUCCCUUCUUCCUUGAUUACUGUAUUUCUGUAGUUGUGUUGCCAAGGAGUGUUGUGUGUUCUUGAUGUGUUUAAGAUCAACAUUCUUGGUGUGGUUUGCCAAAGGUAGUGUGUUUCUUGAGGGGUUCAAGGUCACUACUUUGGUGUGUGGUGUUUGUAAUCUGGUUUUGAUUGCAUAGUGGAAUACCCAGUGGUUUCUGGGGACUGGAUGUAGCUCUUGGUGUAAGAAUGAACCAGUAUAGAUUGUUUGUGUGCUUAUAUCUUACCAUUAACUCUUUAAAUUCUGUUUUUAAGUUGUUUUUAUAAACUGCUCAUAAAAACAACCGAUUGUUUUUCUGAUAUCAUCUUAAAACAGUUUUGGGUAUUUGUUUCCUUGAUUCUUUUCUCUGCAAUUCAGCAUUGAUUUUCAUGCGCUUCUUCAAAAGACUCAGCUCCCACAUCACGAAUCAUGUCCUUCAAUCGAUCAUCAUCUACAUCAUCAUUUAUUGCAUCAUCCAUGUUAGACCUCACAUAUUCUUCAGUUACGGAAACACGUGGUAAAUUUAAUAAUUCACCAUGCCAUGUCCAAGUUGUAUAAGAUUGAAGAAACCCAUCACACAGAAGGUUCUUCAUGAUUAUCUUAACAUCCAGUAUCCUUCCAUUCAAACAGUUAACACACAGAUACCUAAUCUUUUCUCCAUCAUGACCAGUAUUAUUCGCGUUACGCUGCACAAAUUAUAUAAAUUCUUCUACUCCUCUUUCGUACUCAUCACUCAUGAGAACAAAAUUAAUCCAAUUUCAAUCCAUUAUAUUUUGUAAUAGUCAUUCAGGUGUUUUCUAAUAAGUGUUCUAUCUCACGCGUUUGCCGAGGGUCGAACACCCCCGGACUCUGUACCAUCGCGUAUCAAUUAUCGAGGGUCGAACACCCUCGAACUCAAUACCAACACAAUAAUUCUAUUCUAAACUAACAACUAACAUAAUAUAAAUUAAUAAUAAAUACAAAUUAAAUAAAUACUAAAUAAUAUAAAUUUAAAAAAUACAAAUUAUAAUAAAUAAAAAAUAAACAAAUUCAUAUGAUUAAAAAGAUCAAAAAAAUUUAAAACACCACCAACCUUGUGCGUGAAGGCAACAUUGGUGAAGAGUGGCACGGGACCGACAGCAACAGCGGACACAGCAGCAACAAAGGAGCAAAGUAAAACCCACACAAGAAGCGACAAGGGCAAUGAAACAGUACUUCGAGCAAUGUAAGAAAACAAACCAAGUAAGAGAAACGAAAAAGAUUUAUAAACCAUUGGUGAAGAAGAAAGAGAGCUUGAACAAACUUACAAUGGCACAACAACACAAUGAAGCUCGCAGAAGAAGAGAGGAACACCAGAGCAGGAACAGAGCAAAGCGCAAAGAAGAGAAAGAAAAUAUGAAAAUGUAAGUGGCGCGCUUUAGAGUUAGGGUAAAAAAUGAUUUAAGAAUGCAACUAUUUGUAAUAGUUGCAUUCUUAAAAUCAUGCAUUUUGAUUUAAGAAUUGCAUUAAUUUAAGAAUGCAACUAUUAAAAUAAUUACAUUCGUAAAUGAAGUUAAUUUAAAAAAUGUCACCACGUUUUAAAUAAAUGCAUUUAACCGUAAAAGCACAUUAAAUAAAUAUUCGUUGUUUUUUUAAUUUUCGGUUCCUUCACAUAAAAACUGUACAAAAGAAAUAUGUGAAGUAACGAACAUGCAUUUGAGAAAUUCAUGCCUGCAUGUUGAAAUUGGAAGGAUGGAUCAAUUGCAAAUAUUGUAGACCCCAUUAAUCAACGGUUCUCGAAAGGAAAUAAUGAGAUGUAUCCACAUUGGGUGAGUAUGUGUUCAAGAAUGGGUGAGUAUGUGUUCAAGAAGAUAGGGAUGUCAGACCAACCAUGGCUACUGUUGUACUCAUGCUUAAUAGUUAUUCUCUCACUCUCCCAUUGCCUUCAGAACCUACAUUUGUUGUGGAUAGUAGCACAAGAAGCUUUCCAAACAUGUUGGCAUGGGAGCAUAAUUAAAGGGAAAGUGGAUCGAGUGAAACCACAAACAAAUAAAGUCAAUAUUCAGUAAAUGAGGAGGCUUCAAUUAUUGAGUCAUACUCUAGCUAAUUUGAUAUAACAUGGGUAAUUUGAGACUUAAGUUACAUGUUUCUACGUAUAAUGAAAAAUUAAUUGUGCUUGUCUUGUUUUUUAAGGGCUUCCAAUCAAUGGAACUUUUUAAUUAAAAUUAUUCUUAUAGUAUAUUGAUAUUAACUUUAAGAUCAAUCCAUUUAACACUACAAAAAAACUAAUAUAUUAAGAUAGCAUAAAAUUUAACAUAUCAUUCAUAGUUGUUACCAUUAUAUAAGUUAUCUAAACUAAAAAUAUCAAACUCUUAUACUAAUAUUUUAACAUUAUGUGUAUCAUUAAUCACUCAGUCAAUGACAUAGUCUUUCUUGAAAUUGUUUUAUCACAUACAACUUAUCUCUUACGAAUGGAUAACUAAUACCAAUCAUAAGUUGUGUAUGAAAUUCACGACUUCAAUAUAAAAUAAUAUCAUUAAAGUUAGAUACGAGUGACACAAGUUCAAUUAUAUUAAUUUACACUAAGUCGUGUUUCAAUAAUAUGACUUUAAUUAUCAAUAAUCACUUAGUCAAGCAAAUUUGUGUCUCACUUUUUUUUAUUGUUUUUGAAACAAAAUUAUGUAUGUAUAACAUGAUUAUAAUAUGAUUAUAAUAUGGACCGACAUUAACAUAAAUACUGAAGUAGUGUUGGUACUAAAGGACUUCUUCAUAUGAAAAUAAAAAAAUUGUGAAACAACUUAUCCAUUUUAGUAAAUAAAAAAAGUUAUUCAUUAGAUUAAUAAUAAUAAUAAUAAUUGGUGCAAAACCUCUCUUGUGAGUGAUACUUGAAAGUUUAAUAUAUUUGUAAGGAAGUAAAUUUUCACCUUUAGUUAUUUAAGGACUGCAGUUCGAAUGGUUAGUCUCAAUAAGAAGCAAUUCUAAUCUAUCAUGGAUUUAUUAGAAGUGAUUUUUAUCGUGAUGACACUUCUAUACAGUUCAGACUCGGAUAGAUGAAUUUUUAGAAUACUUAACCAAGAGGCCGAUCCAUUGAUGGUCAUUGUAUUCCGUCCCAACUAUAAUCAGAAAAAAAGUGAUCUUGGCUUUCACAAAUUACAAAAUGAACACGGGUUUCUCCAAUGGUCCCGCUGGACAGCUAUCCAUGCCCUGUCUCCGCGUAACUUUGCGACUAUACAAAAACAUUUUUCAAUUAUUCGCUCCAAACUCCAAAACCUUGCCGCACAAUUUGGUUAACUAUAGCACAAGAGAAACGCGUUAUCAAGCUGCCACUUAGCUCCACUCCACUCACCAUCCCUCAUAAUUCUUCACUUCAUCAAUACGCCUUCUCCCUUCAAUCACCACCCUCACUAUANNNNNNNNNNNNNNNNNNNNNNNNNNNNNNNNNNNNNNNNNNNNNNNNNNNNNNNNNNNNNNNNNNNNNNNNNNNNNNNNNNNNNNNNNNNNNNNNNNNNCAAAUGGCCUCUCUUACAUCCUCAAGCCUUCUCCUCACUCUUCUUCUGGCUGUUUCCAUUCUUGGUUUCAGUUCAGCCAGGAAGCUCAGUGAGUCAGAUUCCCAGUUACAGUUCCAAUACCACAGAGGACCUCUCCUCACAGGCAAAAUCUCCGUCAACCUCAUUUGGUACGGCAACUUCAAACCUUCCCAGAAAGCCAUCGUCACUGACUUCAUCACCUCCCUCUCCUCUCCCAAACCCCUCACACCCCAACCAUCGGUUGCCACGUGGUGGAAAGCCACCCAAAAAUACUACAAAACCUCAUCCCCUAAACUCUCCCUCUCCCUUGGCUCUCAGAUCCUCGAUCAAAACUACUCCUUCGGCAAAUCACUCACCAACGAUCAAAUCCUCAAGCUCGCAUCCAAGGGUCCUCAGAGAAACGCCAUCAACGUGGUUCUCACGUCUGCUGACGUGGCAGUCGAAGGUUUCUGUUCAAGCAGGUGCGGGACUCACGGUUCCUC